rnacentral:rRNA from 1 species
UACGAAGGGUGCAAGCGUUACUCGGAAUUACUGGGCGUAAAGAGCGCGCAGGCGGUCGUUCAAGUCGAGUGUGAAAGCCCGGGGCUCAACUCCGGAACUGCCUUUAAGACUGCAUCGCUUGAAUCCAGGAGAGGUGAGUGGAAUUCCGAGUGUAGAGGUGAAAUUCGUAGAUAUUCGGAAGAACACCAGUGGCGAAGGCGGCUCACUGGACUGGUAUUGACGCUGAGGUGCGAAAGCGUGGGGAGCAAACAGG